rnacentral:rRNA from 1 species
AGUGAACGCUGGCGGUAGGCCUAACACAUGCAAGUCGAACGGCAGCACAGUAAGAGCUUGCUCUUACGGGUGGCGAGUGGCGGACGGGUGAGGAAUACAUCGGAAUCUACUUUUUCGUGGGGGAUAACGUAGGGAAACUUACGCUAAUACCGCAUACGACCUACGGGUGAAAGCAGGGGAUCUUCGGACCUUGCGCGAUUGAAUGAGCCGAUGUCGGAUUAGCUAGUUGGCGGGGUAAAGGCCCACCAAGGCGACGAUCCGUAGCUGGUCUGAGAGCAUGAUCAGCCACACUGGAACUGAGACACGGUCCAGACUCCUACGGGAGGCAGCAGUGGGGAAUAUUGGACAAUGGGGGCAAGCCUGAUCCAGCCAUACCGCGUGGGUGAAGAAGGCCUUCGGGUUGUAAAGCCCUUUUGUUGGGAAAGAAAAGCAGCAGGUUAAUACCCCGCUGUUCUGACGGUACCCAAAGAAUAAGCACCGGCUAACUUCGUG